rnacentral:rRNA from 1 species
UCAGUCGACUCCUACGGGGAGGCAGCAGUGGGGGAAUAGUUGCACAAUGGGCGCAAGCCUGAUGCAGCCAUGCCGCGUGUAUGAAGAAGGACCUUCGGGUUGUAAAGUACUUUCAGCAGUGAGGAAGGCGGGUGUGUUAAUAGCACAUUCGUUUGACGUUAGCUGCAGAAGAAGCACCGGCUAACUCCGUGCCAGCAGCCGCGGUAAUACGGAGGGUGCGAGCGUUAAUCGGAAUUACUGGGCGUAAAGCGCAUGCAGGUGGUUUGUUAAGUCAGAUGUGAAAGCCCGGGGCGUCAACCUCGGAAUUGCAUUUGAAACUGGCAGACUAGAGUACUGUAGAGGGGGGUAGGAAUUUCAGGUGUAGCGGUGAAAUGCGUAGAGAUCUGAAGGAAUACCGGUGGCGAAGGCGGCCCCCUGGACAGAUACUGACACUCAGAUGCGAAAGCGUGGGGAGCAAACAGGAUUAGAUACCCUGGUAG